rnacentral:lncRNA from 1 species
CAAACGAUGGUUUUAUUAGCGCAUAUCGACAGAUACGCUUCACAAGUACAAUUAAUGCCAUAUAAAUCAUUCAUAUCCCUGCCCUGUCAUUUACGAGAAUACAGCAUAAACUCCAUAUCCUUAUCUGAAGCCGAUAACGCAGAGCAGAUAGAGCUCCGAGGCGCGACUGCAAAGAGCCCUGAGCGCUGCCGGCUCUCCCAAGCACGUGUUUGUACAGGGCUUUCACCGCCCAGCCACACGUCACCUGCUGCAGCGGCUGGGCAGGCUCUGCAGCCCGCUGGAGAGCAGGAAUCAAGCCCUGCAUCGCUCUGUGGCUUGCUGGCAAGGUUCCGACACUGCCACGAGAUUUGAUGUUUCUCCUGCAGGGAGCCCACACAGCUCCGCCGCUGAGCCUGGGGUGUCGGCAGCGGGGCACCCACGUACACCUCCAAGCAGAGGCGCUCCAUCUCCACCAGCCACCGCCGCAGCCCGCAGCGAGACAGGGCUGCAGGCAAAAGUUACAGCAAAGCGAUUUGAAAUGCCCCAGCUGUGCCGGAUGCAGAGGGACAGGCUGCGGCGCCACACUCGCCUGGGGCCAUGUGGGAACAGUGUCCCACGCCCAGCACCCAGCGCCCAGCCCCAGGAGGGCAGGCUGGGCUUCCCUCGCCCUCUCAGCAUCGUGCAUUGCCGAUGUUUGCCCUGUCCGGGGAAGGCUGUGCAUUCCUCAGUGCAGCUGCCCUUCUGUUCCUCCUCUGCCUCCCCGCCCUUCAGCUCUCGCCGCGAUGGGCAGUUCUGCCAGCCCCGAGGUACGAGGUCAGCUGGCAGAACGAUGGGGUCUGUGUGUGCCUGACAUCGGCCCCGGGGGAGAUGAGGAGGGAAGGGAAACUGGUUUUUGGGAAGGAGGAGGAGUACUCCAACAGUGCAGCUGGAGCAAGAGGCAGGCUAAGUGAUCCUGUUUGCUGGAGCAAGGAGCAGAACAGAAAGUGAGCCAUGGCACCAUCCUCCAGCACUUGGGUCCCUCAGAUCACACAUGGUUGCAUGUUGACCAGUAGUGUCACAUGCCUGACAUGAGGAUCUCCCACAUGGAGGUAAAAAGGCAUCUCAGCAGCCCCAAAUCAGCUUUCUGAAAGUCUGGUAACACCUGCUUCUUCAGUGAACCAGCUGAAGGUAGUGAUAUCAAGCUGAGCCAAUACAUUGAAAUUACUGCAGCAGGAGAAACUACCACCCAGUUAUUACCCAGAUUAUUAUUUUUACCCUUUUUCUUUCUUUUUUUCCCCAAAAACAUUAGUGCCAAUUUUAUCCAGAAUAUGUUAUGGAAAGAGAAGAGGGGAGUAGAAGAGGGAGAAGAUUGGUUUCCAGCUGACAUGCAGAAGCAUAUGCAUGAUUGUCUUUUGGAAUAUUUUGACUCAAAAUGGACUCUUGUAAACAUGUGGCUAAGGGACACAAAUGCAUCUCCAGAUAAGACAUGGAUAUGCCUCUAAGAAGAUAUUGGUCUAUGACCUAUAUUAAAAUUUAAAUUGUUAGUGUUUACAACAGCACUGAAAACUCUUGAGGAAGUCACAAAUGCUGGCAUACAGUUGCUUCCACCAUUGGCUCCAAAGACCAAAUCUGUAACUCCGCUCAUACUCAGCCCUCUAAUUUGUUUCAAAACAUUGUCUAUCAGUGGAUACACAUGCAACCAGCAAAGCAUGACUGGCAUGGCUGGCAGUUGGCCAGCAUGCCACACUGCUAAUCAUCCUCAAUUGAAAAAAAAAAUGAAAUUAAAACCAGGGUCUGCUUUUUCAUCACUUGUGCACCACACUAGGAUUUACUGACAAAGAAGACAGAAUGCACAGACAGAGAGAAACAAAUUUCCAGCUAUGUCGACUGUGCUAAGACCUCUUCUUCCCCAAAAAAUUUUAAAGGAUAUUUUAAAUGAUGUGAAGAAGAUAAUGUUUUUAAGUUGAAUUA